GGGGAUUCAGCGAGAAUGAUAAGGACUCAGGAAAGUGAGCACACGGUGGAGGAUUUCUUGAAACAGGGCAGUUUGCACAUGGAAUAUGGUGCUGAAAUUGCAUCACGAAUCAGUUAUAUUCGGGACAGUGGUCCUAGUGUUGAAUACAUCGGUAAUCCAACAGAACAUGAUCAGAAUUCAAGGCUAAUUGGUGAGCUCCGUGACCAAAUAGCGAAUAUGAAGGACCAUAUGAAACAGAUUGAGGAGAUACAUGCGAGAGAAAUUGCAAUUAAGGACAAGAAGAUUGAAAGCUUGGAUGAAAGUGUUUUGGUCCUACUGAGUGAAAAUAGUAAUCUAUGGGAUCAACUUACGGAGACAGCGGUACACGAAGUGACACAGAAAUACAGACCCAUGACACCGGAGGAGCAAGAGCGUUCUAUGAUUACCCGUCUGAAAGCGAGGAUGAGGAAGGACACCGAAAAAGAAGAGUACGAGUAUGGACAGAAACGUAAGAGACAUACAUCAGAAUCGUCAAAAGUAGAUGCAGAAGUCGACCCCAAAGGAGUGAUCGAUGUUGACAAUUUUAUCGCAGGGCCGGAAAAGGGACCUUUUAAGCCUAAACCGAUUAGAAACCUUAGGACAAACGCAGUGCACCGUCUACUCUCGAGCGAGGAGAAAGCUAAGAUUAAAAAAAUGUGGGAUGAAGCCUAUACUAGGUAAAAUUCAGCACCUGAGCUCUUAUAAUUUGGUAUUUCAUUCUAUAUGUUCUAAAUAUUCUAAAGAACAAAUUGACCAUGUCACUCCCUCGUUUGUAUGCAGCACGAUUAUAUGGUCAAGGACCGUUCUGGGAUGUUCCGUGUUUGUUGAAGAUAUCCGUCAACUCAUUGUUGAUCCUGCGAUAUCAGGGAAUGUUAUUGAUGCAUACGUGGAGAUCCUAUCAACUGAGCAAGGAGGUGUGGCAGAUCAGAUGCAGGGUGAUUGCACACAAGUGAAGAACAAGACGGUUUAUGUAUUCACGUGCAAUUUUUUGACAAUGCUAGGGUGUAAGUGUCCUAUAGAACGCAAAAAAAUACUUGAAAGAAUGAUGCCACAAACGGCUUCUUACCGAUACUUGAUGUUUCCAAUCCACUUUGGUUAUCAUUGGACAUUACUUGUCCUCAACAAUGAAGAGGGGAGCUGGAAGUUUUACAAUUCUAUGAGGGAGAGAACCGGGGUGGAUGCCCACUAAAAAUCAAGUGGAAAGUUAUUGGAAAAGCACUAGAGAUGGAUUGCUAACCACCCAGGAUUGCGAACCCACAGUGACAGUCCCCAACAGGAAGAUAGUAGCCUCGAUUGCGGUGUUAUUGUGUGUUAUAUCAUCCGGCAAUACUAUCAAAACGAAGAAAUUGCGCCGAUCCUAAGGAAAGCAGCAUGUCAUAAAAUCCGGUCUGAAAUAGUUAAAGCAUUCCUAAGUGGUGCAGCCCAUUUGUGGAGUUAGGAUAGUAGUAGAUGGUAUUCCUGACGUCGUCUUUGCUAACUCUUUGAACAU